rnacentral:rRNA from 1 species
GAUGAACGCUGGCGGCGUGCCUAAUACAUGCAAGUCGAGCGAACGGACGCGAAGCUUGCUUCUUUGAUGUUAGCCGCGGACGGGUGAGUCACACGUGGAUAACCUACCUAUCAGACUGGGAUAACUUCGGGAAACCGGAGCUAAUCCCGGAUGAUAUUUUGAACCGCAUGGUUCAAUAGUGAAAGACGGUCUUGCUGUCACUUCUAGCUGGUUCCGCGCUGCUUUAGCGAGUUGGUAAGGUAACAGCUUACCAAGGCAACGCUGCAUAGCCGACCUGAUAGGGGGAACGGCGACACAGGAGGUGAGACACGAUCCAGACACCGACGUGAGGCAGAGGUAGGGAAGCGUCCGAGAAGGGCGAAAGCCUGACGGAGCAACGCCGCGUGGGUGAAGAAGGGCUGCGGAUCGUAAAACUCUGUUAUGAGUGAAGAACAUAUGUGUAAGUAACUGUGCGCAACCGAACGGUACCUAAACAGAAGGCCACGCCAAACUACUU